UCAAGCUACUAAGGGCAUGCGUGUGGAUGCCUUGGCGCGAUCAGGCGAUGAAGGACGCGGCUAGCGGCGAUACGCCUCGGGGAGGUGCAAGCAACCUGUGAUCCGGGGAUUUCCGAAUGGGGAAACCCGCCUGGUGUGAACACCAGGCAUCGUGCGCUGAAUCCAUAGGCGUACGAGGCGAACCCGGGGAAGUGAACCAUCUCAGUACCCGGAGGAAGAGAAAUCAACCGAGAUUCCGAAAGUAGUGGCGAGCGAAAUCGGAACAGCCCAAACCGGACAAUUCGCAAGGAGAGUCCGGGGUUGUAGGACCACAAUGACUCUCCCAGUCGCUGCUUCCAGCGGAGACUGAGAGAGUGACAACAAGGAUAGGAAAGCGUUAAUCGAACGGUCUGGAAAGUCCGGCCAUAGAAGGUGACAGCCCUGUAGGUGAAAAUGCAAUCCUCCUUUUGUGGUUCCUGAGUACAGCGGGGCACGAGGAACCCCGCUGGAAUCGGCCGGGACCAUCCGGCAAGGCUAAAUACUCGAUCGCGACCGAUAGUGAACUAGUACCGUGAGGGAAAGGUGAAAAGAACCCCUGCUAGGGGAGUGAAACAGUACCUGAAACCGCAUGCCUACAAGCAGUGGAAGGGCUAUGCCGCAAGGCAUGCCUGACCGCGUGCCUAUUGAAUAAUGAGCUGGCUAGUUUUUCUCAGUGGCGAGGUUAAGCGUAAGCGAGCCGUAGCGAAAGCAAGUCCUAACUGGGCGAUUCAGUCGCUGGGAAAAGACGCGAAGCGGGAUGAUCUACCCUUGGCCAGGGUGAAAUCAGUGUAACAACUGAUGGAGGCCCGAACCGGUGUUGGUUGAAAACAGCUCGGAUGAGCUGAGGGUAGGGGUGAAAGGCUAAUCAAAUUCCGUGAUAGCUCGUUCUCUCCGAAAUAGCUUUAGGGCUAGCCUCGCGUGGACCGUCCCGGUGGUAGAGAGCUGGAUGGACUAGGGGCCUUCCCAGGUUACCGAAUCCAACCAAACUGCGAAUGCCGGGAACGAAUGCGCGGGAGUCAGACAGCGGGGGCUAAGCUUCGUUGUCAAAAGGGAAACAGCCCAGACCGCCAACUAAGGUCCCCAAAUCUGCGCUAAGUGGGAAAGGAAGUCGGGAGGCUAUGACAGCCAGGAGGUUGGCUUAGAAGCAGCCAUCCUUUAAAGAAAGCGUAAUAGCUCACUGGUCGAGUCGCCCGGUGCCGACAAUCCAACGGGGCUCAAGCGCAGUACCGAAGUUGCGGGUCACCAGCAAUGGUGGCGGUAGGAGAGCGUUCCCUGCUGCUGCGAAGGCAGAGCGAGAGCACUGCUGGAGCGCAGGGAAGUGACUCUGCCAGCAUAAGUAGCGAUAAACCAGGUGAGAACCCUGGUCGCCGUAAGACUAAGGUUUCCUGAGCAAGGUUAAUCCGCUCAGGGUUAGUCGGAGCCUAAGGUGAGGCCGAAAGGCGUAGCCGAUGGACACACGGUUAAUAUUCCGUGACCUCCGUAGGAGAUACCGAUGCGGGGACGCAGCUUCGAGCUCGCUGGAGGCAAUGGUUCCCUCCAGUGGGGGAGAAGAGGGCCGGAUAGGCAAAUCCGCCGGCUCGUCUGCCAGGAAAAGCCGCUAAGGGCCGAAGGAGUCCGUACCACAAACCGACACAGGUGGUCGAGAUGAAUAUUCUCAGGCGCUCGGGUGAUGGGUUGUUCAGGAACUAGGCAAAUUGACCCCGUAACUUCGGGAGAAGGGGUGCCCGCUUCACGGCGGGCCGCAGAGAAUAGCGCAGGGCGACUGUUUAACAAAAACACAGGUCUCUGCAAAGUCACAAAAACGACGUAUAGGGGCUGACGCCUGCCCGGUGCCGGAAGGUUAAAGGGAGAGGUUAGCCGCAAGGCGAAGCUUCGAACUGAAGCCCCGGUGAACGGCGGCCGUAACUAUAACGGUCCUAAGGUAGCGAAAUUCCUUGUCGGGUAAGUUCCGACCUGCACGAAUGGCGUAACGAUCCUGCGACUGUCGUAACAACCCGCCCGGCGAACUUGUGGUCCCGGUGAAGACGCCGGGUGCCCGCCACUAGACGGAAAGACCCCGUGCACCUUUACUGCACCCUAUCAAUGAAUUAUGGGGCGGUCUGCGCAGCAUAGGUGGGAGGCUUUGAAGCCGGGCUCUCGGGCUCGGUGGAGCCGCCGUUGAGAUACCACCCUGAUCGUUCUGUGAUUCUAACCUCGCUCCGUCAUCCGGGGCAGGGACAUUGGUAGGCGGGUAGUUUGACUGGGGCGGUCGCCUCCUAAACGGUAACGGAGGCGCCCAAAGCUUGGUUCAGGAGGUUUGGAAAUCCUCCGUCGAGUGCAAUGGCAUAAACCAGGCUGACUGCGAGACCUACAAGUCAAGCAGGUGCGAAAGCAGGGCAUAGUGAUCCGGUGGUUCUGUAUGGAAGGGCCAUCGCUCAACGGAUAAAAGGUACGCCGGGGAUAACAGGCUGAUCGGAGCCAAGAGUCCACAUCGACGCUCCGGUUUGGCACCUCGAUGUCGGCUCAUCGCAUCCUGGGGGUGGAGAAGCUCCCAAGGGUUAGGCUGUUCGCCUAUUAAAGCGGUACGUGAGCUGGGUUCAGAACGUCGCGAGACAGUUCGGUCCCUAUCUGUGGUGGGCGUAGGAGAUUUGAGGGGGCCUGCCCUUAGUACGAGAGGACCGGGGUGGACGAAGCUCUUGUGUUCCAGUUGUCCCGCCAGGGGCACAGCUGGGUAGCGAACUUCGGUCGGGAUAAGCGCUGAACGCAUAUAAGCGCGAAACCCUCCCCAAGAUGAGAUCUCCCAACCGUCAGGUAAGAAGGGCCCUGGAAGACGACCAGGUUGAUAGGCCGGAUGUGUAAGCGCAGCAAUGCGUUGAGCUGACCGGUACUAAUAGCCCGUUCGGCUUGACCA
rnacentral:rRNA from 1 species